CAGCAAGCCCCGGGCCGCGUGCAGUGAGCUUUUCUUCAUAGCCCCGUCCUUCCCGCCACCUCAGGCUUCUUCUGAGCCCUGGAAGGGGAGGACAGGGAGCCCCGAGGCCCUUUGUGCUUGGAAAUCUCCCUUUCUGUAGUUUGAAGGGUGUGGUUCAAGGGACCCAGCUCUCUGAGCAGAAGGCAGGAUGAUGCACACGUAACUGUGACUGGCUGGGGUCCAGGGCAGUACUUUCCUCCUGCUCAGCCUGGGAGAGCCACCCUCCUGCUGAUGGAACCAGGGCUUCCUGGCACAAUCCCAGGGUGGACUUGUCCUUCUGGGCCCCAUUGCUGGAGCUCUGUAGGUCUCACAUGGGACCUCAGUGGUCUCAUCUGUAGAAGGAGUGCAAUACACCCAUUCUGCAGGUGUGUCUUCAUUCAACAGAUAUGUACCAAGCAUCCUGAGAGCUCCAGGGGCUGCGUGAUACAUGAGAAGUCGUUCCCGCCCUCCAGGAGCUCAGAGUCUAAGGAAAGAGGCACCCUGGCUGGCAGGCUGCUCCAGGGUAGCCUGGCACCAGCGGCCUUGGUGAUUUCUCUGUUCAUCAAGUGCUUCUUACAGGCUGCGUACGUGCCAGGAGCCGUGGGCGCUCACCAGCCAGGACUCCACGUGGAGCAGAGAGAACAUCAGGGAAAAUGUCAAACAUCGCUUGUCGAGUGGCUCACGGACCAUCGACUGUGCGUCAAUCAAGUACCAGCCGAAGUCUCAACUAUCAAGCGCACGGUGGCACCCAAAGGGGGCGGGGAACCUGGGUCACACACCAGCACCGGCCUAGCUCUGGGCACACGCAGGGCUGACUGGGUGGAUCCCGGGCUGUAACUCUCCAUCCAACCGCUGCCUUCAGUGCUCCUUGGAGCUGCACAGGGCUGUGUGCUGUGAGUCAGUGGACCUCGGCUCAGACCCAGGGCACGGGCGUUCUCAGAGACCCGCCGUCACGAGAUCGCACAGCCCAAAGAUCAAGAGGAAGUCAGCUAAUUUCUGCCCUCUCUUCUUGGGCUUGGCUCUCACCGCAAAGGUGGCAUCUUCUCCAUUUGGAAGCUUGGUCCUUUUAGGAAGCCGGGCCGUGCAAUUAAUUUAUUCAUUCAUUUAAAGGCUUUUGAAACGGAUCCUCUCUGUUAAAAAAAAAAGAAGUGGCGGCGGAAGGGGGAUGGACGAGGAGGGUGUUCUGGGUUGAAUUGUGCCCCCCCCGCCCCCGAAAAACGAUAUGCGAAGAGCUAACUCCUAGUCCUUCCGAUUGCAGCCUUAUUUGGAAGUAGGGUCAUUGCAGAUGCAAUUCGUUCCAUUAAGGCGAGGUCACGCUGGGAUUGGUGGGACCUGGAAUCCAGUUUAACGGAUGUCCUUGUGAGAAGGGAAAACACAGAUGCAGGCAGGCCUGCCGUGUGAACGCAGAGACGCGAGCGAGGAGCCGAGUGACGGCAGAGCAGAGGUUAGGGGACCCCACUGCAGGCCCGCGAGCUGAGGGUGGCCGGCCACCCCCCGAAGCCAGAAGAGGCUCGGAAGGAGCCAUCCCUGUGGGUUCCAGGAAGCAGAGCCCUGCCCACUGCUUGAUUUCAGAGAUCCGGCCUCCAGAACUUGGAGACAAUGCAUUUCUGUUGCUUUAAGGUACUCGGCCUCAGGCCUUUGGUAGGACAGCCCCAGGCCACUAACGCAGAGGGGACCCUCGGCAUCCCCACCAGGGCCUGCCAGCCUUCGGGGGCCUGGUCCAGAUCCGUGGUCCUGCCCACCCUUUCUCUGGCUUCCUCCUCACUUUGCUCUGGGCGUAAGACCCCUGCAGCCCCCCACACCAUGAGAGUUCUCGGGCCCGUCCAGGGCAUGGGUU
ensembl:lncRNA